ensembl:lncRNA
GUGGUUGCAUGCGUGUUACUGCCUUAGCCAUUCAUCUAUUCAAAUCAUUGCUUCACAGAUUCAUGUUGGGGCAAAGAUUUGCAUCCUUUUAACAAGCUGCUUUUUACCAGACGAUAAAUGAAGAGCAUGGAGCAGUUCCUUAUCAUUGUUCUAUUAGCAGGAGGAACACUCGCUCUCGUUCCAGUUGAUGAGACUACUUGCGACCUCAGGACAAACACAUUUCCAUGCUCUCCUAUUCUUGAAGGAACUGUGUAUAUCCAAGUGAUGAAUGAUGCUAGUGGCCGUGAAAUGAAGUGUUUGAAGGUGCUCCCCAGUGUGAACAUAACUGUGUUCAAUCUGAAGAAAGGAAAAAUAACGAUAGACAAGGAAUUUAGCAACAGACUACAGUUUCUAAUCAAGAACGGGACACUCAAGAUCACAAACCUGAGGAGGAAUGAUUCAGGUCAAUACAGCAUUGAGGUCUUUAAUUCAGAUGGAGUUCAAGAGAAAAACAUUCUUUUCACCCUGGAUGUUAAAGACAAUGGCGAAGUUGAAGCUCUGGUUCCAGUUGAUGAGACUACUUGUGACCUCAGGACGAACACAUGCCCGUGCUUUCCUCUUCUUAAAGGAACUGUGUAUAUCCAAGUGAUGACUGAUGCCAGUGGCCA